UCUCCAAGAAGCCCAUUUGCCCCCAACUCCCUGGUAUUUGAUCUCCCUUGUGAAACAAGCUAUGUAGGCUUAAAAAAAAAAAAAAACUACAGGUGGUUUUUAAUUAGUUAUUUGAGAGGCAAAUGGACAGAGCUCACAUCUGCCCAAUGGCCAGGACUGGACUGAGCCAAAGCCAGGUGUCAGGAGCUCCAUCCAGGUCUCCCACAUGGGUAUAGGGCCCCAAGUACUUGGGCCACCUUCCACUGCUUUCCCCGGCCAUUAGCAGGGAACUGGAUUGGAAGCAGAGCAGCUGGGACUUGAACCAGUGCCCAUAUGGGAUGCCUGUGUUGUAGGCAGCAGCUUAACCCACUACACCACAGCGCCAGCCCUGGCAGGUAGGUUUUAAUACCACCCACCUACCCUCACAUACAGACCACCCUGCACAAACCAGGCCUCCAGGAACCUUCUAGAUCUUCCAGUUGGACUCACAACCAGAGCCCUGUUGUCCACCUUUCUGGAGAACCAGAGCCCUGUUGUCCACCUUUCUGGGAGCCCGCAGCAGGGGCUUCAGAGAAAAAGCGCAGGAUGCUGGAAGCCUUCAACCAGGCCUGUCAAGAAAGUCACCAGGUUUUACCUCUGCUCCUUAGGAAAGCAGUGGCUGCCUUCUGCUUGGUUUUGUGAGUUUGCCAGAGCUGAAUUCUGCAAUCCAGAAGGAGGAGGUGGUAAGAUUGGGCUCCUGGGAGAACCAGGGCACAUGGCAGGUCCUGGGCUAGUCCCAAACACCGAACAUUCCCUGCCUACCACGAAACUGUUAUUUUUGCUAGGGAGAUUGUAAUGGGAGCAAGAUCGAUGCAGGUCUGUUGCUAGGAGACGGGGCCCUGCCAGGUUGGGCCCCAGACGCAAAGGUCUCGCUGAAUUUGGAGAAACCAAAUAACCCAGCCCGAGCUAGUGAGCCGGCCCAACCAAUCGCAGGCCCCCAUUCUGCUGGGCCCAUGGCUUGGCCUGUUUGUUGCAUUCCAAUAUGGUGGGGGAGGGGGAAUCCUUCCUUGGAUCCACUGGUGUCUUUCUGUGUUCCAGUUUGGUUGGGGGGUGGGAGACACAGAAGUGAGAGAUG
rnacentral:lncRNA from 1 species